rnacentral:rRNA from 1 species
GACGAACGCUGGCGGCGUGCCUAAUACAUGCAAGUUGAGCGAUGAAGAUUGGUGCUUGCACCAAUUUGAAGAGCAGCGAACGGGUGAGUAACGCGUGGGGAAUCUGCCUUUGAGCGGGGGACAACAUUUGGAAACGAAUGCUAAUACCGCAUAAUAACUUUAAACAUAAGUUUUAAGUUUGAAGGAUGCAAUUGCAUCACUCAAAGAUGAUCCCGCGUUGUAUUAGCUAGUUGGUGAGGUAAAGGCUCACCAAGGCGAUGAUACAUAGCCGACCUGAGAGGGUGAUCGGCCACAUUGGGACUGAGACACGGCCCAAACUCCUACGGGAGGCAGCAGUAGGGAAUCUUCGGCAAUGGACGAAAGUCUGACCGAGCAACGCCGCGUGAGUGAAGAAGGUUUUCGGAUCGUAAAACUCUGUUGGUAGAGAAGAACGUUGGUGAGAGUGGAAAGCUCAUCAAGUGACGGUAACUACCCAGAAAGGGACGGCUAACUACGUG